CGCAUCUGUGCAUGCAGCAUAUCAAUAAGCGGAGGAAAAGAAACUAACAAGGAUUCCCUUAGUAACGGCGAGUGAAGCGGGAAGAGCUCAAAUUUGAAAUCUUCAAGGUUUUACCUUGACGAAUUGUAGUUUAAAGAAGUGUUUUCUGUUGAAGUUUUGGUAAAAGUUCUUUGGAAUAGGACAUCAUAGAGGGUGAGAAUCCCGUAUUUGACCAUUAUUUUCAGCUGUGUGAUAACACUUUCAAAGAGUCGGAUUGUUUGGGAAUGCAGUCCAAAAUGGGUGGUAAAUUUCAUCUAAAGCUAAAUAUUGGCGAGAGACCGAUAGCGAACAAGUACCGUGAGGGAAAGAUGAAAAGAACUUUGAAAAGAGAGUUAAACAGUACGUGAAAUUGUCAAAAGGGAAGCGUUUGACACCAGUGUUGUUUUCUCGAAAAUCAAUUAAAAAGAGUUAGAUUUUGUUGUGUAUUGACCUUAACAGCUUGCAUUUCAAUUUUCUUGCUUUUUUUAAUGCACUUUUCGUUUAACAAGUCAACAUCAGUUUCUUUUGUUGUAAAAAGGUCAUUGGAAGGUGGCUUUCUUUUCGGAGAAAGUGUUUAUAGCCUUUGACUCCUGCAAUCGGAGAGACUGAGGUCUGCAGCGUAGAUCCUUCGGGGUUAGAUACAUUUGUGCUAAGUUAUAGCUUUUUAUAGACAACUUGUUGACUAUGAUUAGUCUUGUAGCUUACUCGCUUAUGCUACUUUUACCUACGCUUAGGAUGUUGAUGUGAUACUGCGAGCA
rnacentral:rRNA from 1 species